AUGUUUGCAAUGAUGAAGAAGAGUAUGAAUCGUAUCCUGUUCUAGAGAGCUGAUGGUCGGUGGAAAUCAGUACAGAAACGAUGCAGAAUGGGCUUCGGAGCAUCCAAACCGAACGGGAAUGGAUCCUUAGUAGGCUUUGGCGAUAGGUCUCGUCGUUACAUGAGACACUUGUUCUCGAGUUGUGAUGACAAGGAAGCAGGGUUAUUUAUUGACCAAUGAAGGUGGUACCGCGGGCUCUCCCGUCCUUUUC
rnacentral:ncRNA from 1 species